rnacentral:tRNA from 1 species
GCUUUCGUGGUGCAAUGGUCAGCACGCUCGGCGCGUAUUCGAGAGAUUCGUGGUUCGAGUCCCGGCGAGGGCA